UUGUUGGGAUGAGCACUGGGUGUUGUAUGGAAAACAAUUUGACAAUAAAUUAUAUUAAAAAAUAUAUAAAUAAACAAUUCUCCUUCAAGCAUCUUACAUUGUAACCAGACUACACUAUAUGCUGGUCUUUUCUCUGCAUUGGGUGGACAUCUGUUGUAUUUUCUGCUUGUCUUAAAGUGACACUACUCUUCCAUCCUUCUGGAAGAAGAACCUUUCUAUACUUUCAACCCAAGCCCUUCUGGUGCAGGAACUCCACUUCCUGGGGUGGGCAUGUGAUUCCUGCCUGGCCAAUGAUACCCCCCAGUCAUAGUGAUUGAUACAGGAAUGGACAUGUGACCCAGGCAAAGACAGAGAUGUGGAGACUCUUGCUAGGACUUUUGGGGAAAAGAUGCUCAGCUAUUUGAAGUUGUGUGGAUGUGAGGCCAGAGUUGCUGCUGCUGUUUUGCUACCAUCACAUGAGAACCUACCUGAGAAUGGAGUCAACCCUCAGAGAAAUGGAGCCAGGAAAUGAGGUACAAGAAUCCAGGACCAGGGCACUAUUUUGUACCCCAGAUCACCUCCUUCCUGGAGCCACUUGGCCCCCUGGAUUUUUCAAUUACUGAGUGUCUGAAACCUCUCAUAGUUUAGACCUGGCUCAAAUGCUUCUUCAUCCAAUAAACAAACCCUGCUUUCCUGAGCUAGAAGAACUCUCUCCCUUUGAAUUCCCAGAGCAUUUUACAAGUUGAUCUGCUAUGACACAUCCCUUACUCUAUUAUAUUCGUGGUUGGUUUGUUUUUUCUUAGAUACAUAGCUUAUCCCCCUGUAGGCUAUUGGCAACUUGAAGGCAGGGCUUACGUUGUCAUUGCCUUUUUAUCUCACAAAGCACACAACAAGAUGUUUUGGACAAAAUGGGUCUCAGUUCACAUUAGUUGAGAGAACAGAUGAAUCAAUAAAAUGAACUUUGUCUCUGAGCGAGCAGUGCACUGUGGGAAGAAACCAGCUUUGCUUCCUGGGAGGAAGAGAACAAACCACUGCUGGAGAUGUUGCAAUAGUCCAAGCUACCAAAUCAAGAAGAGGUGGAGAAAGAGGCGGGGCUUGACAAGGACACAAGCCAGGCAGAUCCAGCACUGUGCGCAAGAAAGCUGUAAGAACCCAGAAGGCAAGUGUAUAGAAAAUUCCCUGGCUCACUCCAGGGCUUCAUUUAGCCAAGAAUGUCAUGAGUGUCUGGGUCAGUGACUUGUACAGAGUUUCUGAAUUAGCUACCAUUUACUGGAUGCUUAGUGCUUGCCAGGCAUUGUGCUAAGCACUUGACAUGCAUCACCUCAUUUAGUCCACAAAAUAACUCCGUGAGUUAUUCCUCCCAUUUUACAGACAAGGAAACUGGAGUGCAGAAAGAUGAGUAAUAUCUUGCUCCAAGUCACACAGUCACUAAGUGUCAGAUCCAGGAUUUAACCUGAGAGUAUAACCAGUGUGUAAAACGCUUAG